GACGAACGCUGGCGGCGUGCCUAAUACAUGCAAGUCGAGUGGACUUGAUGGAGCUUGCUCCUGAUAGUCAGCGGCGGACGGGUGAGUAACACGUGGGCAACCUGCCUGUAAGACUGGGAUAACUUCGGGAAACCGGAGCUAAUACCGGAUACGUUCUUUUCUCGCAUGAGGGAAGAUGGAAAGACGGUUUCGGCUGUCACUUACAGAUGGGCCCGCGGCGCAUGAGCUAGGUGGUGGGGUAAUGGCUCACCAAGGCGCCGAUGGGUAGCCGACCUGAGAGGGUGAUCGGCCACACUGGGACUGAGACACGGACCAGACUCCUACGGGAGGCAGCAGUAGGGAGUCUUCCGCAAUGGACGAAAGUCUGACGGAGCAACGCCGCGUGAGUGAAGAAGGUUUUCGGAUCGUAAAACUCUGUUGUCAGGGAAGAACAAGUACCAUAGUAACUGAUGGUACCUUGACGGUACCUGACCAGAAAGCCACGGCUAACUACGUGCCAGCAGCCGCUGUAAUAC
rnacentral:rRNA from 1 species